rnacentral:rRNA from 1 species
AACUAACAAGGAUUCCCUUAGUAACUGCGAGUGAAGUGGGAAAAGCUCAAAUUUAGAAUCUGGCAGUCACUUGGCUGUCCGAGUUGUAAUCUAGAGAAGUGUUGCCCGUGCUGGACCAUGUACAAGUCUCCUGGAAUGGAGCAUCACAGAGGGUGAGAAUCCUGUCUUUGACAUGGACUGCCAGUGCUUUUGUGGUAUGCUCUCAAAGAGUCGAGUUGUUUGGGAAUGCAGCUCAAAAUGGGUGGUAAAUGCCAUCUAAAGCUAAAUAUUGGCGAGAGACCGAUAGCGAACAAGUACCGUGAGGGAAAGAUGAAAAGAACUUUGGAAAGAGAGUUAAACAGUACGUGAAAUUGCUGAAAGGGAAACGCUUGAAGUCAGUCACGUUGACUYGGAAUCAGCUCUGCUUUUGCUGGGUGUACUUUCUUGUCAAUGGGUCAGCAUCAAUUUUGACCAUUGGAUAAAGUUGCUGGGAAUGUAGCAUCCUUUUGGAUGUGUUAUAGCCUGGUGAUGCAUACAGUGGUUGGGAUUGAGGAAUUCAGCACGCCACCAGGCCGGGUUUUGACCACGUUCGUGCUUAGGAUGCUGGCAUAAUGGCUUUAAUUGACCCGUCUUGAAACACGGACCAAGGAGUCUAACAUAUCUGCGAGUGUUUGGGUGGAAAACCCAUGUGCGUAAUGAAAGUGAAAGUUGAGAUCCCUUCAGGGAGCAUCGACGCCCGGACCAGACCUUYUGUGACGGAUCCGCGGUAGAGCAUGUAUGUUGGGACCCGAAAGAUGGUGAACUAUGCCUGAAUAGGGUGAAGCCAGAGGAAACUCUGGUGGAGGCUCGUAGCGAUUCUGACGUGCAAAUCGAUCGUCAAAUUUGGGUAUAGGGGCGAAAGACUAAUCGAACCAUCUAGUAGCUGGU